GCCUAUAUGAAGUCGGAAUUGCUAGUAAUCGCAGAUCAGCAUGCUGCGGUGAAUACGUUCCCGGGCCUUGUACACACCGCCCGUCACACCAUGAGAGUCGAUAACACCCGAAGCCUGUAGUCUAACCAUAAGGGGGACGCAGUCGAAGGUGGGAUUGAUAAUUAGGGUGAAGUCGUAACAAGGUAUC
rnacentral:rRNA from 1 species